CCUACGGGAGGCAGCAGUGAGGAAUAUUGGUCAAUGGGCGCGAGCCUGAACCAGCCAAGUAGCGGGAAGGAUGACUGCCCUACGGGUUGUAAACUUCUGUUAUAAAGGAAUAAAGUGAGGCACGUGUGCCUUUUUGUAUGUACUUUAUGAAUAAGGAUCGGCUAACUCCGUGCCAGCAGCCGCGGUAAUACGGAGGAUCCGAGCGUUAUCCGGAUUUCUUGGGUUUAAAGGGAGCGUAGAUGGGUUGGUAAGUCCGUGGUGAAAGUUUGCGGCUCAACCGUAAAAUUGCAAUUGAUACUGGCAGCCUUUCGUACAGUUGAGGUAGGCGGACUUCGUGGU
rnacentral:rRNA from 1 species